UGUUUUGGAUUCUAUUUUCAAUACACUAAAAUUAAUUCAUUUAUUUACUCUAUAGCAAUAUAAAAGGGGUCAUUAGUAUUCGUUUUUUAUUACAGUUACUUACCUUUUACUCAAUACAGACAAUUUAGUAGUCUAUACCAAAAAAUUCAAAAUGAAAUACUUCAACAUCAUUUUUGUUUUGUGUUUUGUUAUGUGCAUCGUUUCCUUUUCGAUUGUCUCAGCUUCAUCUCUGCGUAACAUUGAAAGUAAACCUUUGGUAAACGAAAUGGAUAGAGACGGCGACGGCAGUACUGCUCUUGAUGAUGAUGAUCAAACUAAAGGUUCAGUUCCACUUUAAGAAUUUUCAAAUAUAUGAUAAAACAUUAAUUCAAUAAAAUUAUAAUAUUUUCAGUUAAAAAUCAAUUUAUAUAAAUUUCAUAAUUAAAAUUGUUAUACAUUUUAUAAUGAUUUUGUUUCCAAAAUAAAAUUUCUCAUAACAGUU